rnacentral:rRNA from 1 species
GAUGAACGCUGGCGGCGUGCCUAACACAUGCAAGUCGAACGAUGAAACCGCCCUCGGGCGGACAUGAAGUGGCGAACGGGUGAGUAACACGUGACCAACCUGCCCCUUGCUCCGGGACAACCUUGGGAAACCGAGGCCAAUACCGGAUACUCCUCGCCCCCCUCCUGGGGGGCCCGGGAAAGCCCAGACGGCAAGGGAUGGGGUCGCGGCCCAUUAGGUAGUAGGCGGGGUAACGGCCCACCUAGCCCGCGAUGGGUAGCCGGGUUGAGAGACCGGCCGGCCACAUUGGGACUGAGAUACGGCCCAGACUCCUACGGGAGGCAGCAGUGGGGAAUUUUGCGCAAUGGGGGAAACCCUGACGCAGCAACGCCGCGUGCGGGACGACGGCCUUCGGGUUGUAAACCGCUUUCAGCAGGGAAGAAAUUCGACGGUA